UGGGGAAUUUUGGACAAUGGGCGCAAGCCUGAUCCAGCCAUGCCGCGUGCGGGAAGAAGGCCUUCGGGUUGUAAACCGCUUUUGUCAGGGAAGAAAUCUUCUGAGUUAAUACCUCGGGAGGAUGACGGUACCUGAAGAAUAAGCACCGGCUAACUACGUGCCAGCAGCCGCGGUAAUACGUAGGGUGCAAGCGUUAAUCGGAAUUACUGGGCGUAAAGCGUGCGCAGGCGGUUUUGUAAGACAGAGGUGAAAUCCCCGGGCUCAACCUGGGAGCUGCCUUUGUGACUGCAAGGCUUGAGUGCGGCAGAGGGGGGAUGGAAUUCCGCGUGUAGCAGUGAAAUGCGUAGAUAUGCGGAGGAAACACCGAUGGCGAAGGCAAUCCCCCUGGGCCUGCACUGACGCUCAUGCACGAAAGCGUGGGGAGCAAACAGAUUAGAUACCCUGGUAGUCCACGCCCUAAACGAUGUCAACUGGUUGUUGGGAAGGUUCCUUCUCAGUAACGUAGCUAACGCGUGAAGUUGACCGCCUGGGGAGUACGGCCGCAAGGUUG
rnacentral:rRNA from 1 species